UACGUAGGGAGCGAGCGUUGUCCGGAAUUACUGGGUGUAAAGGGAGCGUAGGCGGGAUGGUAAGUCAGGUGUGAAAUGUAUGGGCUCAACCUGUAAAUUGCACUUGAAACUGCUGUUCUUGAGUGAAGUAGAGGUAAGCGGAAUUCCCGGUGUAGCGGUGAAAUGCGUAGAUAUCGGGAGGAACAUCGGUGGCGAAGGCGGCUUACUGGGCUUUUACUGACGCUGAGGCUCGAAAGCGUGGGGAG
rnacentral:rRNA from 1 species